rnacentral:rRNA from 4 species
GUGGAUUAGUGGCGAACGGGUGAGUAACACGUGGGCAAUCUGCCCUUCACUCUGGGACAAGCCCUGGAAACGGGGUCUAAUACCGGAUAAUACCUUCUCCUGCAUGGGAGGGGGUUGAAAGCUCCGGCGGUGAAGGAUGAGCCCGCGGCCUAUCAGCUUGUUGGUGGGGUGAUGGCCUACCAAGGCGACGACGGGUAGCCGGCCUGAGAGGGCGACCGGCCACACUGGGACUGAGACACGGCCCAGACUCCUACGGGAGGCAGCAGUGGGGAAUAUUGCACAAUGGGCGAAAGCCUGAUGCAGCGACGCCGCGUGAGGGAUGACGGCCUUCGGGUUGUAAACCUCUUUCAGCAGGGAAGAAGCGCAAGUGACGGUACCUGCAGAAGAAGCACCGGCUAACUACGUGCCAGCAGCCGCGGUAAUACGUAGGGUGCGAGCGUUGUCCGGAAUUAUUGGGCGUAAAGAGCUCGUAGGCGGCUUGUCACGUCGGUUGUGAAAGCCCGGGGCUUAACCCCGGGUCUGCAGUCGAUACGGGCAGGCUAGAGUGUGGUAGGGGAGAUCGGAAUUCCUGGUGUAGCGGUGAAAUGCGCAGAUAUCAGGAGGAACACCGGUGGCGAAGGCGGAUCUCUGGGCCAUUACUGACGCUGAGGAGCGAAAGCGUGGGGAGCGAACAGGAUUAGAUACCCUGGUAGUCCACGCCGUAAACGUUGGGAACUAGGUGUUGGCGACAUUCCACGUCGUCGGUGCC